rnacentral:rRNA from 1 species
GUGCGCAGGCGGUCUGUUAAGUCAGCGGUCAAAGCCCGGGGCUCAACCCCGGCCCGCCGUUGAAACUGGCAGUCUCGAGUUGGAGAGAAGUAUGCGGAAUGCGCGGUGUAGCGGUGAAAUGCAUAGAUAUCGCGCAGAACUCCGAUUGCGAAGGCAGCAUGCCGGCUCCACACUGACGCUGAGGCACGAAAGCGUGGGUAUCGAACAGGAUUAGAUACCCUGGUAGUCCACGCAGUAAACGAUGAAUGCUGGCUGUCCGGGGGGAUUGACCCCUGGGUGGCGAAGCGAAAGCGAUAAGCAUUCCACCUGGGGAGUACGCCGGCAACGGUGAAACUCAAAGGAAUUGACGGGGGCCCGCACAAGCAGUGGAGCAUGUGGUUUAAUUCGAAGCAACGCGAAGAACCUUACCAGGUCUUGACAUCCCAUCGAAUAAAGGGUAAUGCCUUUAGUCCUUCGGGACGAUGGAGACAGGUGGUGCAUGGUUGUCGUCAGCUCGUGUCGUGAGAUGUUGGGUUAAGUCCCGCAACGAGCGCAACCCUUAUCUUUAGUAGCCAGCAGGCAAGGCUGGGCACUCUAGAGAGACUGCCGGGGAUAACCCGGAGGAAGGUGGGGAUGACGUCAAAUCAUCAUGCCCCUUAUGAUCUGGGCUACACACGUGCUACAAUGGCGUAAACAGAGGGAAGCGAACCCGCGAGGGGGAGCGAAUCCCAAAAAUAACGUCCCAGUUCGGAUUGUAGUCUGCAACCCGACUACAUGAAGCUGGAAUCGCUAGUAAUCGCGGAUCAGAAUGCCGCGGUGAAUACGUUCCCGGGUCUUGUACACACCGCCCGUCACACCAUGGGAGUUGGGAAUGCCCGAAGUCAGUGACCCAACCGCAAGGAGGGAGCUGCCGAAGGCAGGCUCGAUAACUG